GUCUGUGACAUCAUCAAAAGGCCCCCUGAAGACCAUGUGGUGAUUCAGCAAGAUGCCCACAAACAAAGAGAAAGUUUCUAGGCACUGGCAGAAAGUUAAUGCAGACCCAGUAGCUAGGGCAAUGCAUUUAGCAAGGAGACGAGAAAGCAACCAGAGAAGAAAGCAAGCUGCCUUGGCUGCAAAUCCUGAUCACCUGUCAAUCAGGAAUUUAUCAGAUGCUGCAGCUGAGAAGAGGCGAAAGCAAUGGCGGGAAAAUCAAAGAAAACACAGGGCAGAAGCUAAACGUAUAAGGGCAGUUCUGGAUCUUAUUAUACAGUAUUACCACCUGUUCAGUUCAUUUUUACGAAUAUGAUAUGCAUUAUGGAAUAAAAAUGAUUAUUAAUUUCA